AGAUCUAAAAAAAUCCUUCUCAAAUAAGUACCAAAAAGUUUUGAUGAACUUCAUAUUUAAUCCGUCUGGGAUGUACAAACACCUAGGGUUUUCGAAUUAUAUGUAUUGCAGGCAUCAAAUUUGGCUCCAUCAAAUUUAAAUUAAAUCUUAGCAUCUUUCCUUUUUCAUCUUCUACCAACUCCAAAACGCCAUAUUUCGUUUUCCAUCAAAGCUACAAGAAGCACCAAACCUUCAAAAAUGAUUACUUUAUUAUCCAUUGAAUGGAGAAAUGGAAAAUCAAAUAUGAGCAGCACCGCAAGGAUGUACAAACAUGUUUGAAAACCUUGAUCUUAUUUUAAAAUUCAAAUGAUUUCUCCUUCGUUUUCCAUCACUCUCUCUCUCUCUCUCUCACACACACACACAAAUUCCAUCUACAAGGCCCUCAUAUUUCGGCAUUCGGCGUAAAGAUUCAGAUCCGAUAAUAAGGAGGGUGCCGCCGGUUAGGGUUUCUUCGUGAAAUGUUGUAGAGCGUCAUGACGGCUGUUGUUGUGGUUGUUUCUGGCAAUUCGAUAGGCAAAUAUUGGAUGUGGGUUACGCAUUUGUUUCUACUUCUGUCGUAAUGUCAUCAAUUGAAGCCCUAAUUUGUGGCCGGGGUCUGCUACAGUUGGUGGAUAUUUCGAUUAAGCUAGUUCUGGAAGUGGCGCAAAAGUUGGUGGAGAAUAAGGUUAGAACGCCUUGUGGAUAAUCAAUGGGUUCUCAACAAUUGUCCUCCUAUCACUGUUGCAAUCAUGACCCUUGCUGUGAUGGCCAUGAAGUUAUGUUGUAUGAGUGUUCUGUGUUGAAGUUGCGGAGGUGGUAGCAUCCUGCGUUGUUCUUUGCAAGUCUGAUACACUUGACUAAAAAGUCUACAAUUCAUCUUCUUCGUCGAUUCAGUAUCAAUCCAUUCGUCACACAGUGAGCUAACUCAGAGGAGCUGAGAAAGUGGAGUUUCUAAAGUCAGAGGGUGUGGAUCAUAUUGUUGAUAUCAGCAAAGAAGGUGUUAUUGAAAGUGUGAAGGCGUUUUUGAAAACAAGAAAGCUCUAAGGGGUUGAUGUUUUAUAUGAUCCAGUUGGAGGCAAGCUUGCAAAAGAAAGCUUAAAGGUGUUGAGUUGGGGAGCACAAAUUUUGGUUAUCGGGUUCACGAGUGGGGUGGUCUCAGUUAUUCCUGUUAAUAUUGCUCUUGUUAAGAAUUGGACGGUUAUUUUUGUAGUUUUGGGCAUCAUUAUUCCACUAUCUGUUUGUAUGGGGCGAUCGGUUUGAAGUGUCUUGCUUUAGAAAACUACCAAAAAUGGCACAUUUUCCCAUUUCUGGGACAACGUUUGAACUUCAGAAGCAAAUGGAACCCUGACAAAGAUUGUUGUCUGCAAUUUUUUAUGGUAGUUCAGUGAUACAGGCAAUUGACGAGUUUAUUUCGUGAGUGCUGCUUCUAAUGAAUUCUUCAAACAUGAGAAGGUGUUGUCAACCAAUGAAAGGAUGAUAUGGGGAUAUUGCAGGACAAAAUUAAUGCUUUGUUGGUUAGUAUUUUAUAAAAGUAGCAAUUGAGUGGACUUAACUCUCUAAGUUAAAUGUUUUUUUUUUACUAUUAACACAUGCUUGUUUGAUUUUCUUUUAAUAAUUUCUUAAAAUUUAUGUGACCACGUGGAACUUGGGCCAUGAGGACCGAGUACAAAAAUGCCCAAUUAGGAUGUAGUGCAACUAAUGAACUUGCCAAACUAUUGGCUUAUGACGUCAUUGGAUCAGAAGAGAAGAGAUCUAAUGAAUUAUAACUUGAAAGACACUUGGAAAGCUUAAAAGAUGAAAUGUCCUCACAAAUUUACGCUCCGAGCUUAUGGCUUUAAAGUCUUGAUUUGUUUAGGUUGAUACUAAUUUUGAACUUGCAUGGUAGUUUUUUAGAUUGUUUUACAUGUUAUUUUUUCUUGUAGAACAAAAAAGUCAUGAUUUCUCUAUGUUGAUCACCGAAUAUUGUAGCUCCAAAACAUGCUAGAACCUUUUUGCAGGUGUACAUGAAUAGAGAUGAGGUAAAGUUUAAAAAAAAA